CAACAACCUGAACUGUGAAUGCAGCCAGAUUAGAAUUUUAUACAUUUUUAAAUUUCGGACAGGAAAUUGUUCAUCCGAAUCCUCAGAAGACUCCUGCGUCUUCUGAGGCAUUCUUGCUCUGUUUCUCAAGCGAUUACUACCUCUAUCUGCUGUGGAUUUACACACUUUUUGUAGGUGGCCCAUUUUACCACAAGCAUGACACUUGGCAUCCUUGAAUCUGCAUGUAGUUGCAACAUGUGUAGCAGCUCCGCAGCGAUAACAUUUGUAAUGUGAAUGUUCUUGUGUUGAAAGUCUCUUUCCCUGUGGUACACUGUGCUCUAGCAUCUAAUUUUAAAACUUC